CCGGGAUGGCCCUGUAGGCAGCUACAUCUGUCCAAGACACCGUUCUGUGGGGGAGCUAUUGGAAGUAGUGAAAAAGAGUAAGGUUCUUGAGUGACAUGAGGUCAGAUGUGGAAAGUCCUCAGGGAUACUUCUUGGGAAGUCUGAAAUCAUAUGAUGGCACAAGAGAUAUCUCACUGCAUGGGAUGAAGUGAAGUUACCCUUACUGCAAGCAUAAUUUGACAUAUUGAAUGUGCUAUCUUGACAGCUGCCACUAUCAAUAAUUAAAUAAUAUGAUUACCAACUUCUCAAGUUACAUUGCACAACACUGCUUACUCUACAACCUUUUAGGUCUGAAGAUAAAAGCUUUGGCUUCAGCUAGAACCCACUUACCUUGGAACUGGGACUUGAGAUAAAUUCGCUAGCGCAUUGCAAAACUUCAGGAUUCCUCCUGGGAUACAUCCUGGGACGACUCCUGCAACCAACACAGUGAAAAGAAGAGAAUGUUGAUGAAAAAGUAAAGUAAAUUAAAGUCGUUCCAGAAAUAUUUGUACUGUGGAUUUCAGGAAGCCAUGAAGGAUUGGUGCUAAAAACCACUGAAAGAAUAACUAUUCAUUUGAAGCUAUGCAAAAAAAGAAUUUGAAAAUGUUCAGGUACAGUGAGUUAUACUAAAACCUCAGUAAAUGUUGCUUCAAAAUGUCACUGCAGCAUGUCGCUUUUGAGGCAGUGGACAGUAGCAGAUCCUGACGACCCAUGGAGUAUUAGAUAUUGAAUUUUUAAUGAUGCUCAGUGUAUUAUUCUGUUCUUAUUAUUCACUCAGCAUCUAUAAUAUCAGUACAGACCUUGAUAUAUCAGUACAUUCUUGUUUUUCUACUCAACACUUCCUACCUUAGAAAUUUUCUGUCACAGAGUAAUUUACCUAACAUUACAUGAACUAUUUUUACUUAGGCAAACCCAUUCAACAAGAAAUACAUGUUUUGUAAAUCUUAAUGUUGGUCUAUUUAUCUCAGACUGAAUAUUACUUUGGAAAUAGUGUGGCUUUAUUCAUAAUAAAAACAUAAGAACCCCAUGCUUGUGCUUUGGCUUUAUGACUUGGAUAUCUUGCAGCAGAUGGCUGCAGAUGCUAGUAUUUGGACAGCUGAAUUAUGAAGUGAUGAUAUUUUUUUGCCACUUAAUCUGUCUCUCUGUCACCCUCUUUCUCUCCCUCUUUC